rnacentral:rRNA from 1 species
AUUGAACGCUGGCGGCAUGCCUUACACAUGCAAGUCGAACGGCAGCACGGGUGCUUGCACCUGGUGGCGAGUGGCGAACGGGUGAGUAAUAUAUCGGAACGUGCCCAGUAGUGGGGGAUAACUAGUCGAAAGAUUAGCUAAUACCGCAUACGACCUGAGGGUGAAAGCGGGGGAUCGCAAGACCUCGCGCUAUUGGAGCGGCCGAUAUCUGAUUAGCUAGUUGGUGGGGUAAAAGCUCACCAAGGCGACGAUCAGUAGCUGGUCUGAGAGGACGAUCAGCCACACUGGGACUGAGACACGGCCCAGACUCCUACGGGAGGCAGCAGUGGGGAAUUUUGGACAAUGGGGGCAACCCUGAUCCAGCAAUGCCGCGUGAGUGAAGAAGGCCUUCGGGUUGUAAAGCUCUUUUGUCGGGGAAGAAACGUUGGUGGUUAAUACCCACUGAUAAUGACGGUACCUGAAGAAUAAGCACCGGCUAACUACGUGCCAGCCGCCGCAGUAA